rnacentral:rRNA from 1 species
UACGUAGGCAGCAAGCGUUGUUCGGAAUUACUGGGCGUAAAGAGUGUGUAGGCGGUGUUCUAAGUUUGUCGUGAAAUCUCCCGGCUUAACUGGGAGGGUGCGGCGAAAACUGGAAUGCUAGAGGAUGGGAGAGGUAAGCGGAAUUCCUGGUGUAGCGGUGAAAUGCGUAGAUAUCAGGAGGAAUACCGAUGGCGAAGGCAGGUCUCUGGGCUGACACUGACGCUCAUGCACGAAAGCGUGGGGAGCAAACAGG